rnacentral:rRNA from 1 species
GACGAACGCUGGCGGCGUGCUUAACACAUGCAAGUCGAACGGAAAGGCCCUGCUUUUGUGGGGUGCUCGAGUGGCGAACGGGUGAGUAACACGUGAGUAACCUGCCCUUGACUUUGGGAUAACUUCAGGAAACUGGGGCUAAUACCGGAUAGGAGCUCCUGCUGCAUGGGGGGGGUUGGAAAGUUUCGGCGGUUGGGGAUGGACUCGCGGCUUAUCAGCUUGUUGGUGGGGUAGUGGCUUACCAAGGCUUUGACGGGUAGCCGGCCUGGGAGGGUGACCGGCCACAUUGGGACUGCGGUACGGCCCAGACUCCUACGGGCGGCAGCAGUGGGGAAUAUUGCACAAUGGGCGGAAGCCUGAUGCAGCAACGCCGCGUGCGGGAUGACGGCCUUCGGGUUGUAAACCGCUUUCGCCUGUGACGAAGCGUGAGUGACGGUAAUGGGUAAAAAAGCACCGGCUAACUACGUG